rnacentral:rRNA from 1 species
UACAGAGGUCUCAAGCGUUGUUCGGAUUCAUUGGGCGUAAAGGGUGCGUAGGCGGCGCGGUAAGUCGGGUGUGAAAUCUCGGAGCUUAACUCCGAAACUGCAUUCGAUACUGCCGUGCUUGAGGACUGGAGAGGAGACUGAAAUUUACGGUGUAGCGGUGAAAUGCGUAGAUAUCGUAAGGAAGACCAGUGGCGAAGGCGGGUCUCUGGACAGUUCCUGACGCUGAGGCACGAAGGCCAGGGGAGCAAACGGG